rnacentral:rRNA from 1 species
UUGGAGGGCAAGUCUGGUGCCAGCAGCCGCGGUAAUUCCAGCUCCAAUAGCGUAUAUUAAAGUUGCUGCAGUUAAAAAGCUCGUAGUUGAAUUUCGGGACUAAUAUGUCGGUCGUGCCUCGGUACGUACUGGUACUUUUGGUUUCUCCCUUCUGACGAACCUUGAUGUCAUUAAUUUGGUGUCUUGGGGAAUCAGGACUGUUACUUUGAAAAAAUUAGAGUGUUUAAAGCAGGCUCACGCUUGAAUACAUUAGCAUGGAAUAAUGAAAUAGGACGUUUGAUUCUAUUUUGUUGGUUUCUAGGAUCGACGUAAUGAUUAAUAGGGAUAGUUGGGGGCAUUAGUAUUCAAUUGUCAGAGGUGAAAUUCUUGGAUUUAUUGAAGACUAACUACUGCGAAAGCAUUUGCCAAGGAUGUUUUCAUUAAUCAAGAACGAAAGUUAGGGGAUCGAAGACGAUCAGAUACCGUCGUAGUCUUAACCAUAAACUAUGCCGACUAGGGAUCGGAUGAUGUUAAUUUUUUAAUGACUCAUUCGGCGCCUUACGGGAAACCAAAGUGUUUGGGUUC